GUGCUCGCUUUAGCAGUUCAUAUACUAAAGUUGGAAUAAUGCGGAGAUUAGCAUGGCCCCUGUACAAGAAUGACUCAGAAAUUUGUGAAGCAUUCCAUAUUUUU